CGACAAGCAAUAUUUUUUCCAUUUUUAAUUUUUAUUAUAAUUUUGCUAUUUUAUCCAAAUAUGUAUACACUGUAUUUACACUGUAUAAGCAUAUUUUGGAAGUUGCAGUCUUGGUUGCAGCAUCUCACAAUUUCAAGUCACGAACUACCACUGCUUAUAAUGUACUUAGAUAUUAAAAGUACAUACAGUAGACUUCCUGUUAACUGGCCCCUAGGGGACCAGAUCUCAGAGCAAAUAAAUAAAUGGUUAGUUAAUCUGAAAAUUCAUGCAAAAUAUAGGUUAUAAAUAAAAUAUAUUGUUUAUAUAAUUUUUUUAUUCAAUUUAC
rnacentral:lncRNA from 1 species